rnacentral:rRNA from 1 species
CCUACGUGAGGCAGCAGUGGGGAAUAUUGCGCAAUGGGCGAAAGCCUGACGCAGCGACGCCGCGUGAGGGAUGAAGGUCUUCGGAUCGUAAACCUCUGUCAGCAGGGAAGAACGGUCACUGUGCUAAUCAGCAGUGAAUUGACGGUACCUGCAAAGGAAGCACCGGCUAACUCCGUGCCAGCAGCCGCGGUAAUACGGAGGGUGCGAGCGUUAAUCGGAAUUACUGGGCGUAAAGCGCUCGUAGGCGGUAUGUCAAGUCAAGGGUGAAAUCCCCGCGCUCAACGUGGGAACUGCCUUUGAAACUGGGGAACUGGAGUGUGUGAGAGGAUAGUGGAAUUCCAGGUGUAGGAGUGAAAUCCGUAGAUAUCUGGAGGAACAUCAGUGGCGAAGGCGACUAUCUGGCACAUAACUGACGCUGAGGAGCGAAAGCGUGGGUAGCAAACAGGAUUAGAUACCCUAGUAGUC